rnacentral:rRNA from 1 species
ACUCCUACGGGAGGCAGCAGUGAGGAAUAUUGCGCAAUGGGCGAAAGCCUGACGCAGCGACGCCGCGUGGACGAUGAAGCCUUUAGGGGUGUAAAGUCCUUUCGACAGGGAAGAAUAAAUAUAAUAAUAACAAGAUUAUGUGAUGACUGUACCUGUGGAAGAAGCCCCGGCUAACUACGUGCCAGCAGCCGCGGUAAUACGUAGGGGGCGAGCGUUAUCCGGAAUUACUGGGUGUAAAGGGCGCGUAGGUGGUUGUAUAAGUCAGAUGUGAAAUUUCAGGGCUUAACUCUGAAAUUGCAUUUGAAACUAUAUAGCUCGAGUGCGGGAGAGGAGAGUAGAAUUCCCGGUGGAGCGGUGAAAUGCAUAGAUAUCGGGAGGAAAACCAAUGGCGAAGGCAGCUCUCUGGACCGCAACUGACACUGAGGCGCGAAAGCGUGGGUAGCAAACAGGAUUAGAGACCCUGGUAGUCCACGCUGUAAACGUUGGAUACUAGGUGUGGGGAGGAUUCAAUCUCUCUGUGCCGGAGCUAACGCAUUAAGUAUCCCACCUGGGGACUACGAGCGCAAGCUUAAAACUCAAAGGAAUUGACGGGGGCCCGCACAAGCGGUGGAGCAUGUGGUUCAAUUCGAUGCAACGCGAAGAACCUUACCUGGGCUUGACAUUCUGCUGACUGCUGUAGAGAUACGGUUUUCCCGCAAGGGACAGUAGAACAGGUGCUGCAUGGCUGUCGUCAGCUCGUGUCGUGAGAUGUUGGCUUAAGUGCCGCAACGAGCGCAACCCAUGUCCAUAGUUGCCAACAGGUAAUGCUGGGAACUCUAUGGAGACCGCCGGUGAUAAACCGGAGGAAGGUGUGGAUGACGUCAAGUCCUCAUGGCCUUUAUGUCCAGGGCUACACACGUGCUACAAUGGUCGGUACAGCGGGAAGCUAACUCGCGAGAGCAAGCAAAUCCCUUAAAGCCGACCUCAGUUCGGAUUGUAGUCUGCAACUCGACUACAUGAAGUUGGAAUCGCUAGUAAUCGCGGAUCAGCUAUGCCGCGGUGAAUACGUUCUCGGGCCUUGUACACACCGCCCGUCACACCACGAAAGUCAGUAACACCCGAAGACGCUGAGCUAAUCUGAAUAACAUUAGAAGGCAGGUGUCUAAGGUGGGAUUGGUGAUUGGGGUGAAGUCGUAACAAGGUAACCGUAGGGGAACCUGCGGUUGGAUCACCUCCUUU